rnacentral:misc_RNA from 1 species
AUGAAAUGUAAGGAUGCUCUUUUUAGAGGUCCGACCAAAUCAUUUUCCUUUCUACACUGUGCACACACUACACUUUUUACACCUUUUUUAACUCUUCAGUUUUAAGAAUGUAUAACAGUCUCUUAAUUGAGCAUAAAUAAAAU